rnacentral:misc_RNA from 1 species
UUCAUUUAAAAAAAAAAAAGAAAUCAAGCAUGAUUAUGUAAUAAUUCAAUUGAAUUCUUUUAUUGCUAAUGAUAUUUAUUCCAAGGAAGCCUCUGUGAAGUUUAUGGGUUGGUCAUCAAUGAUUGCUUUAUGGAUUUGAACAAAUUACUGGCCAAAAAAUGAAUUGAACUUCCUCCUAGGAAGAUUUCUGUAAUUUGAGUAAGAUGGAAAUUUUAAAUACAAAAUGUGAGGGUUCAUUUUUUUCUUCUGGUAUACUAUCAAAGUUCUUUGCAAGUAAUUGCAUUUGCAGAGUGAAAAUGAGAGACGGGUUUGGGUAUGACAUUCUGAAUGAAAUGGGAAAGCUACUUAUGAGCUGAAAGUUUAAGGAAAAUGUACAGA